AAUCCAUGGCGAGGGCAUCUUCUCAAGAGAUCUUUGUAUCACUCCCAUGCAUCGUAGAGUGUUUCUAAAUCCAUCUGCAUAAAGGAAGAGAUAUUAUUUCGUACUUU
rfam:Gossypium arboreum cultivar AKA8401 contig_115934_1, whole genome shotgun sequence.